rnacentral:rRNA from 1 species
UGGGGAAUCUUGGACAAUGGGCGCAAGCCUGAUCCAGCCAUGCCGCGUGAGUGAUGAAGGCCCUAGGGUUGUAAAGCUCUUUCACCGGUGACGAUAAUGACGGUACCCGCAGAAGAAGCCCCGGCUAACUCCGUGCCAGCAGCCGUGGUAAGACGGAGGGGGCUAGCGUUGUUCGGAAUUACUGGGCGUAAAGCGCGCGUAGGCGGUUUGCCAAGUUGAGGGUGAAAUCCCGGGGCUCAACCCCGGAACGGCCUUCAAAACUGGCCGACUUGAGUCCGGAAGAGGAGAGUGGAAUUCCCAGUGUAGAGGUGAAAUUCGUAGAUAUUGGGAAGAACACCGGUGGCGAAGGCGACUCUCUGGUCCGGUACUGACGCUGAGGUGCGAAAGCGUGGGGAGCAAACAGGAUUAGAUACCCCCGUAGUCC